GCGUCGGUGGUAUAACGGUUGGCAUAGCUGCCUUCCAAGCAGUUGACCCGGGUUCGACUCCCGGCCGACGCA
rnacentral:tRNA from 1 species